rnacentral:misc_RNA from 1 species
CCUCCUUUCUAAGGACGCCGGAGAUGCUUUAUGCUUAUCUCCGGAUAGUCAAAGUCGAAACAGACUCUCUUCUCUUCUCUCCCUUUUCUCCUGUAAAUACUAAGUUAUGAAUUUAGAGCAACGAAGGAAUUAAAUUCGUUACUGUGGACUCCUAAUUUCAAGAGGGGCCUGUAGCUCAGCUUGGUUAGAGCGCAUCCCUGAUAAGGAUGAGGCCGGUGGUUCAAGUCCACCCAGGCCCACCAGUUUCAGUGGGGGAUUAGCUCAGCUGGUAGAGCGCCUGAUUUGCAUUCAGGAGGCCAGCGGUUCGAUCCCGCCAUCCUCCACCAAAAUUUGAGACAUUUAGCUUUUUUAAAUUGUAAAUAUUAUUAUCAAUAUCUAUAUCCGAUUGUUUUCAGAUUUUUUUGGAAACAAUCAAAACAAAAAUUUAAUUUAUUACAGAAAAGUUUUUUCUGUGCAUAAAUCAAGCGUUUAAGGGCGAUUGGCGGAUGCCUGGGCACUGUAAGACGAUAAAGGACGUGGUAUACUGCGAUANGUUUCGGGGAGCC